GGGUGUGAGGGCGAGCUGGCUGUGACAUCUGUCACCCCAUUGAUGGUCAGCGUGGACUCGGCUGAUCUGGCUGGCUGGGCGGGUGUCCCCUUCCUCCCUCCCCGCUCCAUGUGCAUCCCUCCCGAAGCUGUGCUCGGUAGAGCAGGACCACCGUGCCCAAUAGAGGAGGGCCGUUGUUCGGUCAGGGGUGUACAAGUAGUGGUGCUCCCUGGAUGGAACCUCCAGACAAGCUCACGAAAAGAGGAAUGCAACCCUUCAUCAUUUCACUUGGACUUCUGAGACCCUACAACAGUAGGGCCAGGGCGG
ensembl:misc_RNA 7SK 7SK RNA